GAGUUUGAUUCUGGCUCAACGCCCAACGCUGGCGGCGCGCUUAACACAUGCAAGUCGAACGGGUGUCCUUCGGGGCAUCAGUGGCGAACGGGUGCGUAACACGUGAGCGACCUGCCGAGGUGUGGGGGACAACCGGUGGAAACGCCGGCUAAUACCGCAUGAUGCCUGUCUUCUGCAUGGAGGACUGGCCAAAGGUGCUGUCAAAGGCACUGCGCUUCGAGGGGCUCGCGGGGUAUCAGGUAGUUGGUGGGGUAACGGCCCACCAAGCCGACGACGCCUAGCUGAUCUGAGAGGAUGAUCAGCCACAUUGGGACUGAGAUACGGCCCAGACUCCUACGGGAGGCAGCAGUGGGGAAUCUUGCGCAAUGGCCGAAAGGCUGACGCAGCGACGCCGCGUGGGGGAGGAAGGUCUUCGGAUUGUAAACCCCCUGUCCCCGGGGACGAAAUCCAGAGGGGAGGAAAUGCCUCUCUGGUUGACGGUACCCGGGGAGGAAGCACCGGGCUAAACUCUGGUGCCAGCAGCCGCGGGUAAUACCAAAAGGGGUGCGAAGCGUUUGUUUCGGAAAUUACUGGGCCGUUAAAGCGCCGCGCCAGGGCGGCUUCUUUUAAGCCUAUUGGGGUCAAAAGAACCCGGGGGCUCCACCCCCCGUUUGUUUCCCCCCGGGGAAUACUUGGAAAAAU
rnacentral:rRNA from 1 species